rnacentral:lncRNA from 1 species
GAUGAUGAGCUCCUCCAUUCAAGGGCAGGAACGAAUUUCCAUUAUUUGUUACCUACCUGUUUGAUGCUAGCCUCUCCUCAGGCCCCUGAGGAACAGCAAGCUGGGCAAAUGCUCCCCCUGUUCUCCAGGAACAGCAAAGAACAGCCACACAAGCAGCUGAAGAGGAAAUCCCCGGCGGCAGUGGCGACAAUCCGAGCUGCCAGUGUCUCUUAGAACCUGCUCUCAUUGCUUAUCCUGGCCCCUACAGUGAAGACAGGACCCAGGACUGGAUUUGAGUCUAACUGCGAUGGGUUUGAUGUUUCAGGAAGAACGUGAAGUCAAGGAGAAGCAUGCAACGGAGUCCUUGCCAGGCUGUGCCGCCCCCUCCAGUCCCCUGCCCCCUACCGUGCUUUAAGCUAUGGGUCCAGACUUGAGUGAAUCUGGCUAGCCCCUUCAUUCAGCACCUUCUGGCUGGGCACAACACUUCAGGUAUGUUGUAGCCUUUCACUGCUGAGCCACUAACGUUUCAUCUAAAAAUAACUGUGCAGCCACAGGCCUGAAUCUCUCUGGAAUGACCUAAAACCAGCUUAACAAGGGCAGACUAGCAGUUUGACUCCCUGUGGAGUAGGGGCCUGGACAAGGAAGAGAGAACUUCAUGCUCAAAAGCAGAGGUGUGUGCCUCCCUGACCCUCCUUGUGCCUUGUGCACAGCUGAGAGCAGGCACCUGGUGUCGCUGUGUCCCUGUGCACAUGAUGAUUUUUAGGGUAGAAGGUACUGCACAUGGCCUGAGAUGAUGGAGGCGGGCCUAAGUCAUCUGGGUCACCUCAAUGCCACCUAGGACUUGGGAAAUUAUGGAUGCACAGAACUGAAGGACAGCAUGAUUCUCUUCUGGAUCUGCCGCCAGCUAUGACCUCAUAGAUUGGCUACCUCGGGUAGCUCGUGGGGAGGCUCUCUGAACCUCCAUAAAGCAGGAAAUGCAAACCACCCGUAGGUCCAUGACUGUCCCAUACAUUCAGCCGGGCACUGUUUGUCUUCACAUUGUUGGCAAAUGAGGGAACUGAGGCACGAGAGUCCACACCCUCGCGGAUACUAUUUGCCACAGCUUUGGGGAGCCAGGCUCUCACACAUACCGCGGGUAUUAAGUGUUGACAGCCAAGGUGUGUUAGCAGACUUAAUGCCUGUACAGCAACUGGAAGAGUCACCCGAAGGGAUGAAGAUACGGAAAAUGAAGCUGUUCAUCACGGUACUGGUGAAGCGGGAUGGAAUUAUUAACAGGUUUGCCCUGACUCUCCUUCCACUGAUAAAUGUGCAUGGCGAAACGUAACCUUCUACACUGGGUGAUCAAAUGAAGACAUUUGGGAUCAUUUUAUUUGGGGGGGGGGGUUCAACAGAUCGCUCAAGCUGGGCUGGAAUUCUGGGUGUGCCAGGCUGGCCACUGAUCAACGAGCCUCCUGCUACAGACUUCUCUGAGUGUUCGGAUUAUAGGUGAGAGCUGCUGGCCCAGAGAGCAGGUUCUUCUCCUUGCUCCCCGCCCCCACGUCUGGUUUUUGAGACACGUAGGUUCUAAACAGUUCACACAGGUCCUAGGAUCUCCUAUAUGCCCCAACACUAUUCCUGUAGGAUAAAGAAUACAUUGGUGCUGGUGACAUCCCA